rnacentral:rRNA from 1 species
UACGUAGGAGGCAAGCGUUGUCCGGAAUUACUGGGUGUAAAGCGCGCGUAGGUGGGAGGCCAAGUCUGUGGUGAAAUCUCCACGCUUAACGUGGAGGGGCCAUUCGAAACUGCCGUGACUCGAGUCCGGUAGGGGAGUGUGGAAUUCCCGGUGUAGCGGUGAAAUGCGCAGAUAUCAGGAGGAACACCGGUGGCGAAGGCGGAUCUCUGGGCCAUUACUGACGCUGAGGAGCGAAAGCGUGGGGAGCGAACAGG